CCUACGGUAGGCUGCAGUGGGGAAUAUUGGUCAAUGGAGGGAACUCUUAACCAGCAAUGCCGCGUGAAUGAAGAAGGUCUUCGGCUUGUAAAGUUCUUUACUUGAGGGCGAAAAAAAUGACGGUACCCAAGGAAUAAGCCCCGCCUAACUACGUGCCAGCAGCCGCUGUAAUACAGAGGGGGCAAGCGUUGUUCGGAAUGGCUGGGCGUAAAGGGUGUGUAGGCGGUGUAGCAAGUUAGAAGGGAAAUACCUAGAGCUUAACUCAGGUGCUGCUUCUAAAACUGCUAUACUUGAGUGCAGUAGAGGAAAGUGGAAUUCCUAGUGUAGCGGUGGAAUGCGUAGAUAUUAGGAGGAACAUCAGUGGCGAAGGCGACUUUCUGGACUGUAACUGACGCUGAGGCACGAAAGUGUGGGGAGCAAACAGGAUUAGAUACCCCUGUAGUC
rnacentral:rRNA from 1 species